AAGUCGUACAAAAAGUUCUUUCACAAAUUACGUACAAUACAUAUGUUAAUGAAAUUGGAACAUUGAUCUUUACUAAUGAGAAAUUAAACGAUAGAUGAUAAUUAUAGGUCGGGUUACUUGGUACCACCAAAACUCGUGAUUUUACUAUUAAUUGCUUAUAUUUACACAGGUGAAAGAUCUCAUAUAGUGUUCACUGAGAAUCAAAAGCAAAUUAUUUGUCAAAACUUUAUACCGGGAAGGAAGACUCGACAAGGAAGUUUUCCAAAUCUCACCUGUUUCUCGGCAACUACCUGGGUCAUGACCUACUUACUUGAUCAGCUUGUCCAGUUUUGUAGGCACUCGCUUGACGUUGUGCGUACUUCAUGAACAUCUUCACCUGCCAAUCGCGAACAAUUUUUACUUACCACGAGGAGGACGUUGACGUUUGUCGAUCGUGCGGAAAAGUCGCGAAGACAACUUUCCGUUCCUGCGUGUCUCGCUAUUAGCGAUAUCGUCCUUGCAAAAUGCGAACUCGGAGCGAUUACGUCCGGGCUAUCGGGGUCAUCGAUCAUCGGCUCGUCCGCGCACAAAACGUCAAAGCAGAAUCCCGGUGGUGGACUGUAAGUGUUGAACAUCGCAGCCGUGAACAAAUCCGCUCGUUGACCUGAAAA